rnacentral:rRNA from 1 species
CUACGGGUGGCAGCAGUGGGGAAUAUUGCACAAUGGGCGAAAGCCUGAUGCAGCAACGCCGCGUGAGCGAUGAAGGCCUUCGGGUCGUAAAGCUCUGUCCUCAAGGAAGAUAAUGACGGUACUUGAGGAGGAAGCCCCGGCUAACUACGUGCCAGCAGCCGCGGUAAUACGUAGGGGGCUAGCGUUACCCGGAAUUACUGGGCGUAAAGGGUGCGUAGGUGGUUUCUUAAGUCAGAGGUGAAAGGCUACGGCUCAACCGUAGUAAGCCUUUGAAACUGAGAAACUUGAGUGCAGGAGAGGAGAGUAGAAUUCCUAGUGUAGCGGUGAAAUGCGUAGAUAUUAGGAGGAAUACCAGUUGCGGAGGCGGCUCUCUGGACUGUAACUGACACUGAGGCACGAAAGCGUGGGGAGCAAACAGGAUUAGAUACCCCCGUAGUC